ACCUCCGUUCACUGCAAUGGUUCAGUUUUUUUCACAGCAAUGGCAGAUCAUGGAGCCCCUCAAAAGUUCCCGGAAGUAAGCCCAAGCUAACCGCCGCUCAGUGUAAUUCCUACGGAGCACAUAGCCGGAGCAAGACUUGUUUAAGGAGCACUUUGCUGUGAGGCACCAGUGAUGCUGCAGGCCAGGAGUGUACUGAGUGGACCACAGUGAGACUGAAAACAUAGCAAGCAUGAUGGAAGCCUGCUGGAGGGUGCCAGAGCCUCCUGCUCCAACACACCCUCUGCAUUUGGAAGCUCCGUGGGGGAGGAACCAGUCUUUUUCCUAAACAGUUCCUAAUGACAUCAGAGGCUUCUUGAGAGGAGUGGCAACUUAACCUCUCUCGGUUUUUGCAUUGUUUUAUCUAUUCUGUGUUCUCUGUUUUUAAUUUUAAAAAAUUAAAGUUCCAAGUGGUGUGGUUUUUGAAAUUGUGCAAAAGUACAAAUGCAU